rnacentral:rRNA from 1 species
UAAAAAAAAUUCUAUAGGUGAACCAGUGGAGGGAUCAUUGAUGGAACGCGCUUCGGCGAACCAGAACCCCUUUGUGAACUUAUACCUAUACUGUUGCCUCGGCGCUGGCCGGCCUCCUCACCGAGGCCCCCUGGAGACAGGGAGCAGCCCGCCGGCGGCCAAACAAACUCUUGUUUCUUAGUGAAUCUCUGAGUAAAAAACAUAAUGAAUCAAAACUUUCAACAACGGAUCUCUUGGUUCUGGCAUAGAUGAAGAACGCAGCGAAAUGCGAUAAGUAAUGUGAAUUGCAGAAUUCAGUGAAUCAUCGAAUCUUUGAACGCACAUUGCGCCCUUUGGUAUUCCGGAGGGCAUGCCUGUUCGAGCGUCAUUUCAACCCUCAAGCCUGGCUUGGUGUUGGGGCACCGCCUUUGCAAAAGGGCGGGCCCUGAAAUCUAGUGGCGAGCUCGCCAGGACCCCGAGCGUAGUAGUUAUAUCUCGUUCUAGAAGUCCAAUGGCGGUGCCCUGCCGUUAAACCCCCAACUUCUGAAAUUUGACCUCGGAUCAUGUAAAGAUACCCAUCAUCUUUA